AUUGAACGCUGGCGGCAGGCCUAACACAUGCAAGUCGAACGCGUUGCGGACGGGUGAGUAAUGUCUGGGAACCUGCCUGAUGGAUGGGUAUAACUACUGUAAACCGUCGCUAAUACCGCAUACCAUCAGAUGUGCCCAGAUGGGCUUAGCUAGGUGGUGGGGUAACGGCUCACCAAGGCGACGCUCCCUAGCUGGUCUGGGAGGAGGACCAGCCACACUGGAACUGAGAAACGGGCCAGACUUCUAAGGGAGGCAACAGUGGGGAAUAUUGCACAAUGGGCGCAAGCCUGAUGCAGCCAAGCCGCGUGUAUGAAGAAGGCCUUUGGGUUGUAAAGUACUUUCGGCGGGGGGGCGUUACCCGAAGAAGAAGCACCGGCUAACUCAGUUCCAGCCGCCGCGGGAAUUC
rnacentral:rRNA from 1 species